rnacentral:rRNA from 1 species
AGUAAUGUAUGGGGAUCUGCCCAAUAGAGGGGGAUAGCUACUGGAAACGGUGGCUAAUACCGCAUAAUGUCUACGGACCAAAGCAGGGGCUCUUCGGACCUUGCACUAUCGGAUGAACCCAUAUGGGAUUAGCUAGUAGGUGGGGUAAAGGCUCACCUAGGCGACGAUCUCUAGCUGGUCUGAGAGGAUGAUCAGCCACACUGGGACUGAGACACGGCCCAGACUCCUACGGGAGGCAGCAUG